rnacentral:lncRNA from 1 species
GUUUAAAUAAAAGAGUUAAUUACCUACAGUUCUCUAUAAAUAUAUUGAAUGAUAAAUAUAUUUCUAUAAAGUCCAACCUUUUACUGUUAUUUCUAUAAAAGUUUAGUAAUAUUCAUAUUUGUCCCAUUGUGUUUAUUAUUGUUAAUAAAUUAUUUAUUUUUUAAUAGUAAAUAAGUGAAAUGUCAAUUUUGUCAUCAUAAAUAUACUCCUCCAAAAGCCCCAAAUAUUAUAAUUGUGUAGAAACAUCCUCCAAACAAUUUUCAAUUGUCAUCUUCUUUUUCUUUAAAAUUCAACCCAAUUUAUUAUUGUCAUACCCUCUUCUCCCACUUCUUUUCUCUUAAAUAUUUUCUUUUGAGCAAAAUAAAAAAAAAUCAUAAAGGAAAUUAAAAUUUUUUAAUAAAAUGAAAAAAAAAUAAAAUAAAUUAACAACGCAUCAUCAACCCAAAAUACAUCAAAUUGAUAAAAAAUUUCUAAUUAAUUACAACAACCAAAUUUUGGAUUCUUAGUGCAUAGCAAUACCUCACCUUAUUCUCCUCGGAAGAGGUGGGAGUAUCGGAGGCCGAUUCUUCGACGUUGGAUGUGGGCGAAGCAACAUGCAUCGUGGACAAGUGGGAUGUAAAAAACCCUAGCUACGGGAUCGAAACUCAAAAUAGCAUAAAGGAGAGAGAGAAAUAAGAUUUUCUAUUGCUAAAAUUUUGAUUGAAAGAAAAAGGUAUAAUAUUGGAGGGGUAAAAAAAUCAAUUUACCUUACUAACUAACGAAGGUUAAGUGUUUUACCUACGGUCAACUAUAUUUGUCUGACGGAUCCUAGCACCUAGCAGUAGAAAUAUAUUUGACAACGUUAGGACUUUGCAGAGAUAGGAAUAACAAGUUGAACUUUAUAGGUACUAUUUGAUUCGGGUAUAAGUAAGAACUAGUUAUUACAGGGAUAGGUACAAGUAUGGGAAUAAGAAAAAUAGCGUUUGGAUGAAAAUUGGAUUAUUCUCGGGGAUAAAAAAAAUAACGUUUGGAUAGAUAAUAUGAAAUAAGAAAAAUAUUAGGUAGCUUUAUAUAGAAAAUGGAGGUGUUGGUGGGGAUAGUUAUAACCGACUAUUAUAGAUAACCGAGGACUACUGUUUUCAGGUAAAAAAUUAAUAUUUGAGUAUAAAGGGGGGGAUAAGGGCCUAUCCCUAUCCCUAUCCUCUAACCAAACACUGAAUAUAUUUGCUAUUCAAUAUUUUUACAAAAAAUUUUAUACAAUUAAUAAAAAUAAAAAAUAAAAAAUUGCUACUUGUACACCCCAUCCAAGGUGUAUAAGUUACACUCCAUCCGUCCAAUGGGUAGGGGGUUACCUACCAAAACACCUCCUCUAUUAGAUGAAUGAGAUGUACGAUGUGCACCCCCAAAUC